UGUGCGGCAUACAAGCCAAGCAGGGGCGAAAGCCGGGCCAAGUGAUCCCACGGUUCCGAGUGGAAGGGCCGUGGCUUAACGGAUAAAAGCUACCCCGGGGAUAACAGGCUAAUCUUACCCAAGAGUUCCUAUCGACGGUAAGGUUUGGCACCUCGAUGUCGACUCGUCACAUCCUGGGGCUGUAGGCGGUCCCAAGGGUUGGGCUGUUCGCCCAUUAAAGUGGUACGUGAGUUGGGUUCAGAACGUCGUGAGACAGUUCGGUCUCUAUCUGCCGUGGGCGUAGGAGUCUUGCGGGGACAUCUCCCUAGUACGAGAGGACCGGGAGGUACGAUCCUCUGGUGUUCCGGUGGUCCUGCCAAGGGCCCCGCCGGGUAGCUAUGAUCGGCCAGGAGAAGUGCUGAAGGCAUCUAAGCGCGAAACCAGCCCCAAGAUAAGGACUCCCAUUUAUUAUGAAGUAAGGUCACAGGUAGACUACCUGAUUAGAGGACGGAGGUGGAAGACGGGUAACCGUUGCAGCUGACCGUUUCUCAUAGACCGAGGCCUUCCCCACA
rnacentral:rRNA from 1 species